CCCCUCUUCUUUUGGGUUAACAGGUUUUCUUUGGGACCGUGGCUUCUCGGUUCCUUAUAUAAGGCAGCAAGUUUUUUUUUUAGGGUACUGUGAGGAAGGACCCCGAUCGCCGCCCCCUGCUCUCUUGCUCUCGGUCUUUUGCUCUUGGUGUUCCAGCUUCAAAAGACAUCUUCUUCCGCUCGCUGGGGACUCUUCAUCUUCAGCCACUACUCCUCACAGUGGGCCUCUUGUUUCCGUGAACCCUCUUUCUUCUUUGCUGUUCACAGCAUAUGCAACAAGAAAAGGUAUGAUUUUGAUAUUCAUUUGAUCUACCAUUGGAGCCGUAGAAAGGUUGCAUUGCAUACUACACUUUUGAUCUGUCAUUGUGGUUGCAGAAGGGUUGAUCCGAUCANNNNNNNNNNNNNNNNNNNNUUUAUUUGAUCUACCAUUGGAGCCGUAGAAAGGUAGCUUUGCAUACUACACUUUUGAUCUAUCAUUGUGGCUGCAGAAGGGUUGAUCCGAUCAGGUUGUUUUGCCUUAUAUUUGGUUUAUUUUUGCCUCCUAUUGUGAUCAUUUGGCAGUCCAUAUUUUGGGCUUUUAUGUAUCUUUGUUUGUACCCUAUUGGGAAGAUUGACAUAGUGGAUUGCUCUUCCUCCCCGUGGAUGUAGGCACUUGCUGCCGAACCACGUAAAUCUGGUAUCUUUGUGCUUGUCUAUUCAUGCCUGUGAUGUGUUUGGUAAAAUGCCUGAAUGAGAGUAACUGUUAAUUGUUAAGCCGGAUAGAUUAAUUAUUGUGCCCAAGUAAUCACAACAAAAAUGUCUGCAAGUUCCUGAAUGAAGUGGUAGCAAAAGAAUAGAUCUCUAUCGUGGAAAAUGUAGACUUGUCAUAGAACAUCAUGGUAGCUUCUUGCUUCUCUUAUACAUUUGAUAGGAUCCUUUUGAGCUUAUACCAUGGGACAUGCCAUACUUGUGGCCACAGCGUACUUGAAUCUAGAGCUUGAGAGAGCAAUGGAGCGUUGAUUCUUUGUUGCCCAGGAUAUCACCCCAGACUGAAGACUUAUAGCAAAAACAGACGUGCAUCUUUUGUCGUCUGCAGAACCAAUACAAUCACAAUCAGUAUAAGAAACAAGCUUGAAUCCUUUACUUGUCCAUAUCAAAUUCCACAAUCCAGUGUUCCUAGGGCAUAUUGUAGUACUCUUUCAGCUGCACCAAGAUGAUCCUUUCUUGGAUUAUGAAUAAAUCUAGAUAACAAGUUCAUUGCACAAAUAAUACCUGUCUUGGAGGGAGUCAAAUAAAUCAGUCCUCCAAUCAAGUUUUCGCAGUACUUCUGGUUUACUUUAGCAAGUCCAUCUAAAACAAACUUUUCAUUUUUUAUUCAAGCGAGUUUUUUACAGGUUUAUAACUUGACUUAUAGAAUGUUAUCAAUAAAUCACAGGCAUAUUUUUCUUGGAAUAAAAAUUUUAUUAGCAUAUUGAAUAAUUUCAUCCCUGAAAAGAAAAUGUAAAACACCUAAGUUUGUCAUUUCAAAUUCUAACAUGAAAAUUUUCCCUGAAUUCGUUAAUAAUUCCCAUUAACAAAUAUCAUAUAAUUAACAUAAAAACAAACUAGGAGAAUUUUCAUACCUUCGGAUCUUACAAUGGAUGUUUGCUCACUUUUACUUUUUCUAAACUUGUUUUAAGGAAGCAUCUGUCAAUCUUACUAUACCGUGCCAUGGAUUCUAUUUUAGUCCAGAUAAAGCUUUCUUCAAAUUAUACACUUGAUGCUCCUUCCUUUUUACUUCAAAACCUAGAAGCCAUUGAACAUACGCUUUUCUUGCAACUCUCCAUUUCAAAAAAAAUGCAGAUACACCUACUAUCCCUUUUGUGUUUCCUAGGCUAACACGGUUUUCAUGGUAUCGAUUCCUGCAAUAGGAGAAAAUGUCUCCAUGAAAUCAAUACUUGGAAUUAAUGCAUACGCUUAAGCAAUGAACCAAGCUUUAUACCUUUAAAGUGAUCGAUUAAAUUGGAUUUGCAUUUGUAGAUCCAUUUGUACCAAUGACCUCUUUUCCUUGGGAUAGAUAAUUAGGUCUUCCUAUUCUGUUCCUUUCAAUCACAUCCAUUUCUUUAUAAUUGCAUCUUCAAAACAAGUAGAUUCCAAAGCAAAACUAGCAAAAUCACAAGAUUGAUAUAUAUAUCAACAAGACUUUGGAUUUUCCUUACGAGAGAUUCUAUGUCACUUGAGGAUGGAGAAUCAUGGUCAACAGGCAUAUAAUCAAUAGGAGAGGUCUAAUUACAAGGUCGAACC
rnacentral:lncRNA from 1 species